rnacentral:rRNA from 1 species
AGAACGAACGCUGGCGGCAUGCCUAAUACAUGCAAGUCGAACGGCUCUUCGGAGCAGUGGCGGACGGGUGAGUAACGCGUGGGAAUGUGCCCUUUGGUACGGAACAACUGAGGGAAACUUCAGCUAAUACCGUAUGUGCCCUUCGGGGGAAAGAUUUAUUGCCAUUGGAGCAGCCCGCGUUGGAUUAGCUAGUUGGUGGGGUAAAGGCCCACCAAGGCGACGAUCCAUAGCUGAUCUGAGAGGAUGAUCAGCCACACUGGGACUGAGACACGGCCCAGACUCCUACGGGAGGCAGCAGGUGGGGAAUAGUGGACAAGUGGGACGAAAGCCUGAUCCAGCAAUGCCGCGUGAGUGAUGAAGGUCCGUUAGGGUUAGUAAAGGUCCUUACGUUUUAACCCGGGAUUAGAACUAAGU